rnacentral:tRNA from 1 species
GAGUGUAUAGUUCAGGCAGAACACUCACCUGGCACGUGGAAGAUCUGGGUUCGAUUCCCAGCACCA